rnacentral:misc_RNA from 1 species
UUUCCGUAGGUGAACCUGCGGAAGGAUCAUUAUAGAGGGGGCGGUAACACCCGCCCGCAUACCAGAUAGAGAGUGGCACCCUUUGCCCUUUUUCGAGCACCGUACGUUUUCCCCGGCGGGGACGCUCGCCGCUGGGAACAAUCCAAACCCUUUUGCAGUACAGCAGUACUUGUCUGAGAAGCGAAGCAAUCAAUUAAAACUUUCAACAACGGAUCUCUUGGUUCUG